rnacentral:rRNA from 1 species
GAGUUUGAUCGUGGCUCAGGACGAACGCUGGCGGCGUGCUUAACACAUGCAAGUCGAACGAUGAAGCCCUUCGGGGUGGAUUAGUGGCGAACGGGUGAGUAACACGUGGGCAAUCUGCCCUUCACUCUGGGACAAGCCCUGGAAACGGGGUCUAAUACCGGAUAUGAGCCUCUAUCGCAUGGUGGAGGCUGUAAAGCUCCGGCGGUGAAGGAUGAGCCCGCGGCCUAUCAGCUUGUUGGUGAGGUAAUGGCUCACCAAGGCGACGACGGGUAGCCGGCCUGAGAGGGCGACCGGCCACACUGGGACUGAGACACGGCCCAGACUCCUACGGGAGGCAGCAGUGGGGAAUAUUGCACAAUGGGCGAAAGCCUGAUGCAGCGACGCCGCGUGAGGGAUGACGGCCUCGGUUGUAACGUC